rnacentral:rRNA from 1 species
CCUACGGGUGGCUGCAGUGAGGAAUAUUGGUCAAUGGACGAGAGUCUGAACCAGCCAAGUAGCGUGAAGGAUGACUGCCCUAUGGGUUGUAAACUUCUUUUAUAUGGGAAUAAAAUGUUCCACGUGUGGGAUUUUGUAUGUACCAUAUGAAUAAGGAUCGGCUAACUCCGUGCCAGCAGCCGCGGUAAUACGGAGGAUCCGAGUGUUAUCCGGAUUUAUUGGGUUUAAAGGGAGCGUAGGUGGAUUGUUAAGUCAGUUGUGAAAGUUUGCGGCUCAACCGUAAAAUUGCAGUUGAAACCGGCAGUCUUGAGUACAGUAGAGGUGGGCGGAAUUCGUGGUGUAGCGGUGAAAUGCUUAGAUAUCACGAAGAACUCCGAUUGCGAAGGCAGUUCACUGGACUGCAACUGACACUGAGGCUCGAAAGUGUGGGUAUCAAACAGGAUUAGAUACCCUUGUAGUC